GAUGAACGCUAGCGGCAGGCCUAAUACAUGCAAGUCGAACGGCAGCACGGUGUAGCAAUACAUUGGUGGCGAGUGGCGCACGGGUGCAUAACACGUAUGUAAUUUGCCCAUAACUGGGAGAUAGCCUUCCGAAAGGAAGAUUAAUACCCCAUAACCCAGCGAGGUGGCAUCACUUUUCUGGUAAAGCUCCGGCGGUUAUGGAUAAGCAUGCGUCCGAUUAGCUAGUUGGCGAGGUAAAAGCUCACCAAGGCAACGAUCGGUAGGGGGUCUGAGAGGAUGAUCCCCCACACGGGUACUGAGACACGGAUCCGACUCCUACGGGAGGCAGCAGUAAGGAAUAUUGGACAAUGGAGGCAACUCUGAUCCAGCCAUGCCGCGUGAAGGAUGAAGGCGCUACGCGUUGUAAACUUCUUUUCUACUAGAAAAAACAUUUGGUUCGUACCGAAUCUGAUUGUACAGUAGGAAUAAGCAUCGGCUAACUUCGUGCCAG
rnacentral:rRNA from 1 species